rnacentral:misc_RNA from 1 species
UCAAAGUGCAUUCUUCUGCUUGAAUUUGAUUGCCUCGAAAAACCGUGUGUGCUGCAAACAAUAUUUCUCUAAGUAAUUCUAUUAAAUACUUAUAAAAUUUAAUAAUAUAUUAAGUGAUAUAAAUUCAAAUUUUUAUUUAUUUAAUUUGAAUCAAAGUAAAAAUUGAUGAAAACAAUGAUUAAGAUAAAUGUCGCAUUUUGUCCGCGUGUUGUAUGCACGUUGUGGUCAAAAGAAUAUUUUCUUACAAUGAUAAUCCACGAUUAAUAAUGGAAAAGUGUAAUUCUAAUAAUAAGGAAGACCGUCAGGUCCUCCAAUAUUUUGUUGCCAAACAAAAUACUAUUUUAAUGCGUAUAUCGGGAGAAUGUGACAAAAAUGUCAAUACAUUACGUCUUGGCAUGUUGGUUGAAGCUAUCGAAGAUUUAGGAGAUAGCGCACUUAAAGUACGCGUUAUUGAUACGACAGGAUCAGAAAUUUGGCGUGACACAGAAUGGAGAUGUCAUAGAUUUGAUUUAAUCUCUGUUUCAUCAGAAGUUUGGAAAUUUUUACCUGCUGUUUCAGUCCCUCAAGAAAGAGUUCGUUUGGCAAAUUAUAAACACUUAUGUGAGGAACUUAUGAGCUUAGCAAUAAAUGACACUGUUUGGUAUUGUGCUGAUCCUCUGGGAUGCACUAAAUUUUUAGCUAUUAUUAAAUAUAUUGGACCUGUGCCACAACUUGGACAAGGAUAUUAUUUUGGCCUUGAUUUGUUGGAAAGUCAAGAACCAUCCAAAACAGCUUUAUUAAGCAAAGAAUAUUUUGUUUCUAUUCAUUCUGAAGGAAGAUUUGCUACAUUGAGUAAUAUUUUCCCAUUAAAACCUGGAGGUCCUACAGGUCUUGCAAAAUCAGAUAAAAAUUUAUGUACAAAAAUUGAAACAGGAAAUAAUUAUACAAAUGAUAAGAAAAAAUCUGUAUUGGAUACUAUACCACCUGUUUUGUUAGAAAGAUUUAGUCUAUAUGAUGAUAAUAAAAAUAACAAUAAAGAUCAAGGAUCUUUGUCAAAAGAAUAUUUUCAAUCAAUAAAAUCAACAACACAUGAAAAUGAUAGCAAUUUAACUAAAAGUAUAACCACUUAUGGUAAUACACUGGAAAAGAAUGAAAAUAAAAAAUUUGGGCGAACAGAAAAUUUGGAUCUAAUUGUGGGUUCAAAUGUAAAGGUUCUUUUGGAUUCUGAUGUACAUUAUGGAAUUAUUCGUUGGAUUGGAACCCCUCCUGGUAUUACUUCUGGUAAAUUGAUUGCAGCUGUUGAAUUGGAUGAUAGUCAUCCAUCAGGUACUGAUGGAACAUAUAAAGAUGUAAGGUAUUUCCAUUGUCGACCAUACAAAGCUAUUUUUACGGAUCUUGAACAAUGUUCACGAUAUGAUGCCAUGACAAAAAUUGAUGAUUCAACAACAUUGAUAAAUACAGAUAAUUUCGGAAAUAUAGAAAGUUCCGUUAUUGUUGGUAUGGUACGUCCUAUCUCUGUAAAAGGAAACUUGGAAAGUAUUUGUGGAAAAUAUCGAGGAAUUCAAGGUCAUCAUAACUCAUGUUACUUGGAUGCCACUCUUUUCAGCAUGUUUACAUUUACUAGUGUUUUUGAUAAUUUAUUAUUUAGACCACCAAAUGAAAAAGAUUGUCCGCAGUACGAAGAAGUACAAAGAGUAUUACGCGAAGAAAUUGUAAAUCCACUUAGAAAAAAUAUGUUUGUGAGAGCAGAUCGAGUGAUGAAGCUUCGAACUUUACUUGAGAAAUUAUCGUCUGUAUCCGGGCUUACUAGCGAAGAAAAAGAUCCUGAAGAAUUUUUAACUUCUUUGGUUGCACAAAUUUUGAAUGCUGAACCAUUUCUUAAAUUAAGUUCUGGUCAAGAUGCAUAUCAUUACCAACUUUUUGUUGAAAAAGAUGAUCAUUUAAAUCUUCCAACUGUGCAACAAUUAUUAGAACAAAGUUUUCUUACAAGUAACAUAAGAUUGAAAGAAGUUCCUUCAUGUCUUAUUAUACAAAUGCCACGAUUUGGAAAAUCAUUUAAGAUGUAUCAAAAAAUUCAACCUACAUUGUUGCUUGAUGUAACAGACAUAAUUGAGGAUUGUAGCUCCAAGACAAUGUACUGUUUGCGGAAAAUUAGCAGAAUAUGAAUGUAAAGAAUGUUUUGGACAAUGUGGCGUUGGACUUGAAAGUAUUGCUUUUUGUUUGCAAUGUUUAGAAAAGGUACAUCGACAUGAGCGAAGAACAAAUCAUGAACCAAAGAAGCUUGUAGUACCAAUGGAAUUCGCUAUUUUACAAGAACACUGUCCAGUUCCACGAUUGUAUCUUGAAUUAUCGGCAGUAGUUUGUAUCGAAACUUCCCAUUAUGUAUGUUUUGUAAAAUGUGGUUCUGGUUCUGAAGCUCCAUGGUGUUUUUUUGAUUCCAUGGCAGAUAGAAAA